rnacentral:lncRNA from 1 species
UAGUUUUUCAGUAUUUAAUGUGACCAAAAUGGGAAUCACAUGACAAUGUUGAGUGUGUUUUCCAGCGGUUUCUGGUGAUGGUUUUCUUGCUCGUGAUAUUGCAAUUGAGAACAGUGCAGGGGCAGAGAAGCACCAAGCAGUGGCCUUGAGGGUAAAUGCAGACUUAACUGCUUUCUACAGGUGUGCAAUUAAUGGCUACCAAGACACUUUAUAUGUUCACUCCUUUAGACAAUUUUACAGAGAGUGUGACAUUUCUGGGACCGUAGAUUUCAUAUUUGGAAAUGCAGCAGUGAUUUUACAAGAUUGUAACAUUAUAUCCAGAAAGCCCUUGCCUGGGCAAUUCACUGUUAUCACCGCACAAUCCAGAGAUAGCCCUGAUGAGGACACAGGCAUCUCAAUCCAGAACUGCUCAGUCAUAGCUACCCCUGAUCUGUAUUCCAACUCUUGCAGUUUCAAGAGCUACCUUGGGAGGCCAUGGAGGGUCUAUUCUCGCACUGUUUACCUGGAGUCUUACAUUGAUAACUUCAUUGAUCCAAAGGGUUGGAUAAAAUGGAAUAAUGAUAACAAAAGAUCGGACACACUGUACUAUGGAGAAUACGACAACUAUGGACCCGGUUCCAACACAGAUAGUCGUGUUGAAUGGUUAGGCUACCAUUUGAUGGAUUAUGGUGAUGCAUAUAAUUUCACAGUUUCGCAGUUCAUCAAUGCAGAUGAUUGGCUUGAUACUACUUUGGUACCUUAUGAUAACGGGAUUUGAGCAAAUUUCAAUACUGUUAUUUUCUUAAUGGUUAAGUUUCUUAUGAUUAUUACUUUCCUCUGCCUCAAGGCCUCUUUGAAAUUGUUAUUUACUGGGUUGGCUUAUUUAAAAUGAGUAUGACAAACAGUUAAGAAAAAUCUAACAGUUAGAAAUUGAAGUAUGAAGUUGUGAAACUCAUUGAAAUCUUUUGUAUACAUUACCUUCUCCCUCUUUAUAUUCAAAUAUCUUCAAUUAGAAAAGACUAUUUUAAUAUUGAGUGUGAAAAGGCUUAUGCAGAAGAAAUGAUAAAACAAUGAGAAAUUAUUGGGCGAAUUGACAACAUUUAUUCCUUAAGCACUAAUCAAUCAGUAUAAUGAUAUUUAGACAACAUUUUUUUUAUAACAUUUGAAUUUUGAUUACGUGUCAAUAUGUGAUUGGUCGAAAAUUAUUUCACAAUAAUAUUUAUGAUUAUUAUUAUUGAUUGUAGAGUAAUUUUUAACCAAUUAUAAAUUGUUCAAAUAUUAUUAAAAAAAUGUUGUCUAAAUAUCAUUAUCAAUCAAUAAAUAAUAGUUUUAUUUUACAAAAUGGAAUUCAAUAAACACAUUUAGAAAAAAUGAAAAAAACUUUUGGAAAGAAAAGGACCGUAAUAUAUAUACUUUUUUUUUUUUCAUUUUUGAGAAAAACAAAUUCUAUCCAACUUAUAUAAUGGAAUAAGGUCAAUAUAAUGACACGGCAUACAUUUUUGUUGUUGUAAAUUAUAUAUGUCGAAAUGUCUAUGCUUUUAUGGUGUUUAGUCUGUGUGGCCGUGUAGCAUGUUAAUAAUUGUAUUUUGAUAAUCACUGUGUUUUCAAUUUGAUAUAAAAUGUUAAAUUUAAAACAAUUAUAAAUUUUUAUUAUGAUAUUGAGUAAAUUAGAAAAAAUGUUUUUUACUUUUUUUCUUAGUAUAGUUCUCGAUUAUGUUAAGUUUAUAAUUGAUUAUAUUUGUCGAAACAAAUCUUGAUUUUGUCUUGGUUUGUAAACAAUUUAUUAUUUCAAGUAAUAAUGAUUAUGGUGUGGUAAUUUUGAAAUGUUUACUCUCACAUAAUUUUAUAUAAACUUUGAUUGUCAAGUUAAAUAAUUAUAUUGAUAUUAAAGGUGUGAUAUAGUUGUGUAAAAAAUACAUAUAAAAAUAUAUUUUUAUGUCACAAUGUCUUUGUUUAGUGUCGUAUAUGUAUUAGCAGUAAAACAAUGAUAUGUUAAUACAAUUUUUUUUGACAAUAUUCUGAUAUAAUAUUUUUUUUAUUGGAUUUAGAUAUGUUAAUACAAUAAUAAAUAAAUAAUAAAUUAAUGAAAAAAUAUAUGUAUGUUGUAUUAAAAUAUUGUUAAAAAGUCUAUGUGAAAAUAUUUUUUUCCUCAAACAUUAUACCUACAAUUACAAUUAUUGUACUGAUUUUAUUUAAAUCAUACAAGUAUAAUAGUAAAUAGUCUGUGUCAUACUAACUUGUUAAAUAAUAAAAAAAUUAGUAUUAUUUAUUUUCAUCAAAGUUACAGUUGAAUUAUAUAUCUAUUUACAUAUAUAAGAUAUAAUUGUUCAAAUUCAUUUAUUUUUUAUUUUCAUGAAUAAUAAUAAAAUUAUCAAGUUUUUAUUUUAAAAGGUCUUAUUAAUGCAAUAAACGAUUUUGAGACCAAUUAUUCUUGAUAUUUUAUUUUAGUUCUGAAAAAAACAUAUUAAAAAGAGAUAAAAAGGAAUUUUUUUAGUUUCGGUCUUAAAAUGAAACAUAAACUUUGAUACUAGACUUCAAUUGUUUCUAAAUCCAAAACAAUAAAAAUAUAUUUAUAUCGAGUAACUUUUAUACUGCAUUAAACAACCUGAAAAUUUAGACCAAAAUUUAAUAUCAUUAUAUGAACAAGAAACAAAUAACAUAGAUAAAAAUUGAAACCUAAUAUUGAAAUAUAGAUUUUCAUGUUUUUAUGAUACAUUUAAAAAAUAAAUGUAACUUUUUUUAAAAUUUAACUCUAGAAAAAAAAAAAUAAACUUCGAUUCUUCAUGGACUGGAAGUUUUACUAGUAUAAGCUAGCUUCAAUUAUUUUAAAACUAAAACCUUAUAUAAAUAAUUUACAAAAUGUAACAUAUAUAGGCAAUGGCCUAAUCAAAGUGGAAAUAACUCGUUGAUUUUCCUUAAAAAAAAUAGUCAUGAAUUUCACUACAUCCUUUCGUGACGGUUGAAUUAAUAUAAGGAAAAAGUCUUGAUGUAACAUAUUUAUGACACAUUUGACAAGUUUUGUUGGAUAAUGAACAUCAAAAUUCUUAUUUUUCAGGGGAGACCGAUGUAACACUCUUGUUCAGUAACCUAUGAAAACAAUAAAAAAAAAAAAAAACUUUUGAUAAAUUUUAUCAAAGAGAAAAUCAGAAGAAAAAUUAUAAACUAUUAAUACUCUUGAUCAUAUUUUUCUUUUUUAAUUUUAAAAUGAAACAGUGAUUCUAAAUUUAUAAGAAGACUUUACUUUUAUUUUUUUAAAAUGUAAAAAUUACAUCAAGUCAAUAUAUAUUUCAUGUUCUCUACAUCUUAUUAAUGAAGUUUAUAUUUAUUAUUUUUAUAUAUAGCAUUAAUCAGAUAGCAAAGUGGAAUCAAUCCUUAUCAUCGUAAAGUUAAGCAAAUUGGGUGGUGUGGUUUGUAAUUAUAUAGAUAAUAUGGAAUCUUUUACACCUCAAAAAGACUUGUUUUUUUCUGUGGAAAAUAGGAGCAUAUGCAUAAAUCAAUACGCCAAUGGAGAAAACAAGACCUUUGUGCUAUGGAUGUUAAACAAUAUAACCCCUCAAACAAACCAUCCACAAUUAAGGCAAGAAUGAUGGACUUAUGUCUCUACUUAUAUUUUAUUUCUCUUAAGAUUUUAUCUUAUGUUUUAAUUUUUUUUUUUUUUAUUUUAAAAAAAAUCAGUGCAAACCCAGCUUGUGGGGUGAUCCAGUCUUCGAAGCAGCUUCAGGGAUUGCCAUAUAUCAUUCCAUCACUCACGGUCACCCACAACCACGUUCAUGUUAAUUUCUAAAAUUAAAGAAAUUCAAAAUAAAUUGUAUACGUCAAUUUUUUUUUUUAAAUAUAAUCAUUUCCAUUUUAUCCUUAAAUAUAUUUUAAUAUUAUCACAAAAUUUAUCAAUUUAUUACUGAUUUUAGUUAUUGUUAUUUUGUCACAAUUUGUAUAUAUAGUGGCAAGCAUACUUCCAAUAAUGCAUGAGUUCAAAACUUGUGUUAUUUAGAUUCUAAUCAGUGUCCUCAUCACUUUUUUUCUUAUUUAAGUGAUCAAGUAUAUCAAACACUUUCAUAACUCCUUUACUUUUUCCUUAUUCAUCCUUCCAUUCAUGGCUCAUUCAUCUCAUAAACUCUUCUUUCUUCUCCUUGCAAUCUUCUACUCACACACUUCUGCUGUCAACUCCUACAAUGCUUCCACAACACCUCAGUCCAAUCUCUCUUCCUUAAGAUCUUUCUGCAUAACCACCCCAUAUCCAGAAGUUUGUUUCAAUUCAUUAUCCAUCUCAAUAAACAUAAGUCCUAACAUUAACAGCUACCUCGUUCAGUCACUCCAAGUAGCAAUAUCUGAAACCAUAAAGCUCUGCAAUAUCUUCCACAAUGUUGGACACUCAAACAUCAUAGAGAAGCAAAGAGGAGCACUUCAGGACUGCCGAGAACUCCACCAAUCAACAUUGGCUUCUUUGAAAAGAUCACUAUCAUGGAUCCGUUCCUCCAACUCCAUGAGCAUAGUUGAUGCAAGAGCCUACCUCAGUGCAGCUGUCACCAACAAGAAUACAUGCUUGGAAGGCCUAGAUUCUGCUUCUGGCACCAUGAAGCCAGCUCUGGUGAAAUCUGUGAUCAACACUUACAAGCAUGUCAGUAACUCUCUUUCUNUGCUACNGAAGNCUGAGACGGGGACUCCCGGAGACCAGAAGAAUGACCAGCNUUUGAUGAANGCUCCAAAGUGGUUAUCAAGCCGAAAUCAAGGAACUUUUCAAGAUAUGGAAGAGUAUAACCCAAAUGAAGUGCUAGUUGUGUCUGCAGAUGGAAGUGGGAACUUUACCACCAUCACUGAAGCCAUCAACUUUGCUCCAAGUAACAGCACGGAUAAGACAGUGAUCUAUGUCAAAAAAGGGACUUAUGAGGAAAACGUGGAAAUCCCAUGGUAUAAGACCCACAUUGUGAUGGUAGGCGAUGGAAGUGAUGUCACUGUCAUAACUGGUAACAGAAGCUUUGCCUGGACCACUUUCAGAUCUGCAACUCUAGGUGAACCCUUUCUACCCCUUUCUGAUUUUUCUGCAAUUAAUGACUUCUCAUGCAAUGGUCACGAAGUAGAGAAGUGACACAGUAAACAUAUAUAAUGAGUCAUAAUUUUUGAAUGUUAAUUUAGGAGAAAGUAUCACAAGAUUAGAUAAAACAAAAAUUGAGUGUUUAAUUGAGAUUGAUAGAAACCAUUUUAAAUUAAACUAUACCAUAGUUUUUCCGUAUUUAAUGUGACCAAAAUGGGAAUCACAUGACAAUGUUGUGGUGUGUUUUCCAGCGGUUUCUGGAAAAGGUUUUCUUGCUCGUGAUAUUGCAAUUGAGAACAGUGCAGGACCAAAGCACCAAGCAGUGGCCUUGAGGGUAAAUGCAGACUUAACUGCUUUUUACAGGUGUGCAAUUAAUGGCUACCAAGACACUUUAUAUGUUCACUCCUUUAGACAAUUUUACAGAGAGUGUGACAUUUCUGGGACCAUAGAUUUCAUAUUUGGAAAUGCAGCAGUGGUUCUACAAGAUUGUAACAUCAUAUCCAGAAAGCCCUUGCCUGGGCAAUUCACUGUUAUCACCGCACAAUCCAGAGAUAGCCCUGAUGUGGACACAGGCAUCUCAAUCCAGAACUGCAAAAUCAUAGCCAGCCCUGAUCUGUAUUCCAACUCUAGCAGUUUCAAGAGCUACCUUGGGAGGCCAUGGAAGAACUAUUCUCGCACCGUUUACCUUGAGUCCUUCAUUGAUGCCUUCAUUGACCCAAAGGGUUGGAUAGAAUGGAAUAAUGAUAACAAAAGAUCGGACACAUUGUACUAUGGAGAAUACGACAACUAUGGACCCGGUUCCACCACAGAUAGUCGUGUUGAAUGGUUAGGCUACCAUUUGAUGGAUUAUGAUGAUGCAUAUAGUUUCACAGUUUCGCAGUUCAUCAAUGAAGAUGAGUGGCUUGAUACUACUUUGGUACCUUAUGAUAACGGGAUUUGAGCAAAUUUCAGAAGUGUUAUUUUGUUAAUGGUUAAGUUUCUUAUGAUUGUUACUUUCCUCUGCCUCAAGGCCUGUGUGAAACUGUUAUUUGCUGGGUUGGCUUAUUUAGAAGGAUGUGAC